rnacentral:rRNA from 1 species
UACGGGGGGGGCAAGCGUUGUUCGGAAUUACUGGGCGUAAAGGGCGUGUAGGUGGCCAACUAAGUCAGACGUGAAAUCCCUCGGCUUAACCGGGGAACUGCGUCUGAUACUGGAUGGCUUGAAUCCGGGAGAGGGAUGCAGAAUUCCAGGUGUAGCGGUGAAAUGCGUAGAUAUCAGGAGGAACACCGGUGGCGAAGGCGGGUCUCUGGGCAACUACUGACGCUGAGGAGCGAAAGCGUGGGGAGCGAACAGG